GGGGUAGUAGCUCAGUGGUAGAGCAUUUGCCUCACACAUAUGAGGCACUGGGUUCAAUCCCCAGCACCACA
rnacentral:tRNA from 1 species